AAAAAAGGUAAGCUACUAAGAGCGAAUGGUGGAUGCCUUGACUGGUAAAGGCGAUGAAGGACGUACUAGACUGCGAUAAGCUACGGGGAGCUGUCAAGAAGCUUUGAUCCGUAGAUUUCCGAAUGGGGCAACCCAAUGUAUAGAGAUAUACAUUACCUAUAUAGGAGCGAACGAGGGGAAUUGAAACAUCUUAGUACCCUCAGGAAAAGAAAUCAAUAGAGAUUGCGUCAGUAGCGGCGAGCGAAAGCGCAAGAGGGCAAACCCAGUGCUUGCACUGGGGGUUGUAGGACUGCAAUGUGCAAGAGGUAAGUUUAGCAGAACAUUCUGGAAAGUAUAACCAUAGAGGGUGAUAGUCCCGUAUGCGAAAAACAAACCUUAGCUAGCAGUAUCCUGAGUAGGGCGGGACACGAGGAAUCCUGUCUGAAUCCGGGUCGACCACGAUCCAACCCUAAAUACUAAUACCAGAUCGAUAGUGCACAAGUACCGUGAGGGAAAGGUGAAAAGAACUGAGGUGAUCAGAGUGAAAUAGAACCUGAAACCAUUUGCUUACAAUCAUUCAGAGCCCUAUGUAGCAAUACAGGGUGAUGGACUGCCUUUUGCAUAAUGAGCCUGCGAGUUGUGGUGUCUGGCAAGGUUAAGCAAACGCGAAGCCGUAGCGAAAGCGAGUCUGAAUAGGGCGCUUAGUCAGAUGCUGCAGACCCGAAACGAAGUGAUCUAUCCAUGAGCAAGUUGAAGCUAGUGUAAGAACUAGUGGAGGACUGAACCCAUAGGCGUUGAAAAGCCCCGGGAUGACUUGUGGAUAGGGGUGAAAGGCCAAUCAAACUUCGUGAUAGCUGGUUCUCUCCGAAAUAUAUUUAGGUAUAGCGUUGUGUCGUAAUAUAAGGGGGUAGAGCACUGAAUGGGCUAGGGCAUACACCAAUGUACCAAACCCUAUCAAACUCCGAAUACCUUAUAUGUAAUCACAGCAGUCAGGCGGCGAGUGAUAAAAUCCGUCGUCAAGAGGGAAACAACCCAGACUACCAGCUAAGGUCCCUAAAUCUUACUUAAGUGGAAAACGAUGUGAAGUUACUUAAACAACCAGGAGGUUGGCUUAGAAGCAGCCAUCCUUUAAAGAAAGCGUAAUAGCUCACUGGUCUAGUGAUUUUGCGCGGAAAAUAUAACGGGGCUAAAGUAAGUACCGAAGCUGUAGACUUGCACACAACUUAGAUUAUUUAAGUUUAGAAUAUGAGAAACUAAGUUAUAUGUUUAGUUAUAUUUUUACUGAUUUUUAUAGAGUAAAGAUAGAAAUAAAACUUAGUAAAAUCAGUAAAAAUAUUCUUAGACUAAAGUUAAGUAGUUUAAGUUGUGUGCAAGUGGUAGGAGAGCGUUCUAUUUGCGUCGAAGGUAUACCGGUAAGGAGUGCUGGAGCGAAUAGAAGUGAGCAUGCAGGCAUGAGUAGCGAUAAUUAAUGUGAGAAUCAUUAACGCCGUAAACCCAAGGUUUCCUACGCGAUGCUCGUCAUCGUAGGGUUAGUCGGGUCCUAAGUCGAGUCCGAAAGGGGUAGACGAUGGCAAAUUGGUUAAUAUUCCAAUACCAACAUUAGUGUGCGAUGGAAGGACGCUUAGGGCUAAGGGGGCUAGCGGAUGGAAGUGCUAGUCUAAGGUCGUAGGAGGUUGUACAGGCAAAUCCGUAUAACAAUACUCCGAGAACUGAAAGGCUUUUUGAAGUCUUCGGAUGGAUAGAAGAACCCCUGAUGCCGUCGAGCCAAGAAAAGUUUCUAAGUUUAGCUAAUGUUGCCCGUACCGUAAACCGACACAGGUGGGUGGGAUGAGUAUUCUAAGGCGCGUGGAAGAACUCUCUUUAAGGAACUCUGCAAAAUAGCACCGUAUCUUCGGUAUAAGGUGUGGUUAGCCUUGUAUUAGGAUUUACUCCGAAAGCAAGGAAACUUACAACAAAGAGUCCCUCCCGACUGUUUACCAAAAACACAGCACUCUGCUAACUCGUAAGAGGAUGUAUAGGGUGUGACGCCUGCCCGGUGCUCGAAGGUUAAUUGAUGGGGUUAGCAUUAGCGAAGCUCUUGAUCGAAGCCCGAGUAAACGGCGGCCGUAACUAUAACGGUCCUAAGGUAGCGAAAUUCCUUGUCGGUUAAAUACCGACCUGCAUGAAUGGCGUAACGAGAUGGGAGCUGUCUCAAAGAGGGAUCCAGUGAAAUUGUAGUGGAGGUGAAAAUUCC
rnacentral:rRNA from 1 species